CCUCUGUGUAUCGAUACAAGAAUGACUGCUUAUCAUAUUUUGGGGUAUGCAUUCCUUUGAUUCCAACCAGUGUAAAAUGUUCCACCCCAUAUUCUCACACCAAGACCUGUCUCCUUGAGAACAGAAGAGCCUUUUACCCCAAACUCACGGCCACUGUCUCCCUUAAUGAGGGUGUGCUCAGCACCAUGUGUGAGCAGGGGCAGAGCCCCCUUUCCAGACACAGCCUUUGCCCCAGAAGCCAUGCCUUCUGGCUCAGUAGCAGGAACACAGGCUCUAACCUGCUUGCCUAAAGAGAGUCAUGCUGAGUCUCUACAUGGAAGUGUCUGCCUACAAAGGCAACAAGCUUCUCCAUCCACUUGAGGCUUACCAUCUCCGCAGGCCAGCCAGAGAGAAGUACAGCCCAUGAGAGAGAGACACCUCCAAGUCCUUCCCACCCCACCCCCACCACAGCCACUCAGCCCCAUCCUUCCAGCCACGUUGCCUUGGAAACCAGAACAAUUCCCCAAACAUCCCAAGAUUCCCACGCACUCAGGAACUCUCCUGGAGAUGGGUGGGGGACAACAGCAAUUGUUUUCACAGAUGAAGGGACCAGGAGAGAGCAGGUUGGAGCCCGUGGGUUACUUACAGCUGGCCCUCCAGCUACUCCACACAAACCCAGGGAGCGGAAACCUGAGUGUGAGCUCAAAACAGACUCCUGGCCAGCUAACCCUGACUUGA
rnacentral:lncRNA from 1 species